rnacentral:lncRNA from 1 species
AAAAAGACGAUCAUUUUCAAUUCAUAUAAACCUUAAGUAAUAUGUUGUGCACAUAGCUUGGUAUAUAACAUUGAUCUAGGGAGUCUAGGUUGAGUAUCGAAUAGAUGGACAUGAAGGAGAGGGUAGUAGAGAACACUAGGAAAAAAGUAUAUGAAAAUGAGCAUCAAAGGUAUAGUUAAGUUUAUUUACACAAUGAAAUUG